AGCCCGCUCAGAAACUACAAAGGAAUUGACGGGGGCCCGCACAAGCGGUGGAGCAUGUGGUUUAAUUCGAUGAUACGCGAGGAACCUUACCUGGGCUCAAAUGUAUGUUGACGUAUUCUGAAAGGGAUACUUCUUCGGACAAUAUACAAGGUGCUGCAUGGUUGUCGUCAGCUCGUGCCGUGAGGUGUCGGGUUAAGUCCCAUAACGAGCGCAACCCCUAUCAUUAGUUGCCAUCAGGUCAAGCUGGGGACUCUAAUGAAACUGCCUACGCAAGUAGUGAGGAAGGUGGGGAUGACGUCAAAUCAGCACGGCCCUUACGUCCAGGGCUACACACGUGCUACAAUGGCCGGUACAAAGGGCAGCUACCUGGUGACAGGAUGCUAAUCUCAAAAGCCGGUCUCAGUUCGGAUCGGAGUCUGCGACCCGACACCGUGAAGCUGGAAUCGCUAGUAAUCGCGCAUCAGCCAUGGCGCGGUGAAUACGUUCCCGGGCCUU
rnacentral:rRNA from 1 species